GCCACCAUAGUUCAAUAGUUAGAGCACUGGUCUUGUAAACUAGGGGCCAUGAGUUGAAUCCUUACUGGUGGCG